rnacentral:rRNA from 1 species
GAUGAACGCUGGCGGCGUGCUUAACACAUGCAAGUCGAACGAUUAAGACGGCUUCGGCCGUGUAUAGAGUGGCGAACGGGUGAGUAACACGUGACCAACCUGCCCCGCGCUCCGGGACAACCGCUGGAAACGGCGGCUAAUACCGGAUGCUCCGGGGAGGCCCCAUGGCCUCCCCGGGAAAGCCCUGACGGCGCGGGAUGGGGUCGCGGCCCAUUAGGUAGACGGCGGGGUAACGGCCCACCGUGCCCGCGAUGGGUAGCCGGACUGAGAGGUCGACCGGCCACAUUGGGACUGAGAUACGGCCCAGACUCCUACGGGAGGCAGCAGUGGGGAAUUUUGCGCAAUGGGGGGAACCCUGACGCAGCAACGCCGCGUGCGGGACGAAGGCCUUCGGGUUGUAAACCGCUUUCAGCAGGGAAGACAUAGACGGUAC